GUGGGGAAUAUUGGACAAUGGGCGAAAGCCUGAUCCAGCCAUGCCGCGUGUGUGAAGAAGGUCUUCGGAUUGUAAAGCACUUUAAGUUGGGAGGAAGGGCAGUAAGUUAAUACCUUGCUGUUUUGACGUUACCAACAGAAUAAGCACCGGCUAACUUCGUGCCAGCAGCCGCGGUAAUACGAAGGGUGCAAGCGUUAAUCGGAAUUACUGGGCGUAAAGCGCGUGUAGGUGGUUCAGCAAGUUGGAGGUGAAAUCCCCGGGCUCAACCUGGGAACAGCCUCCAAAACUACUGAGCUAGAGUACGGUAGAGGGUAGUGGAAUUUCCUGUGUAGCGGUGAAAUGCGUAGAUAUAGGAAGGAUCACCAGUGGCGAAGGCGACUACCUGGACUGAUACUGACACUGAGGUGCGAAAGCGUGGGGAGCAAACAGGAUUAGAUACCCUAGUAGUCC
rnacentral:rRNA from 1 species